AUUGAACGCUGGCGGCAGGCCUAACACAUGCAAGUCGAACGCGAAAGUCCUUCGGGAUGAGUAGAGUGGCGGACGGGUGAGUAACGCGUAGGAAUCUGUCCGGUAGUGGGGGAUAACGUUCCGAAAGGAACGCUAAUACCGCAUACGCCCCACGGGGGAAAGGGGGGGAUCCUUCGGGACCUCCCGCUAUCGGAGGAGCCUGCGUCGGAUUAGCUAGUUGGUAGGGUAAAGGCCUACCAAGGCGACGAUCCGUAGCUGGUCUGAGAGGAUGAUCAGCCACACCGGAACUGAGACGCGGUCCGGACUCCUACGGGAGGCAGCAGUGGGGAAUAUUGCGCAAUGGGCGAAAGCCUGACGCAGCCAUGCCGCGUGUGUGAAGAAGGCCUUCGGGUUGUAAAGCACUUUCAGUGGGGAGGAGGCUACCGAGAUUAAUACCCUUGGAUAGUGGACGUUACUCGCAGAAUAAGCACCGGCUAACUCUGUGCCAGCAGCCGCCGCGGUAA
rnacentral:rRNA from 1 species